AAAAGACAAAUUUUACAUGCUUAAACGCCCCUUUGAAAAGAAAUUGUGAUCCUCAAUGUUUUUCUUCUUGUGGCAUGGCCUGGUUGUGGUGGGUUAUGUGGGCAUCAUAUAUAAUGAUUCAUGUAUGUGAUCCGCGUUGGCCCUCUUCGAAUCUUCCCUUUCCUCUGGAAUCAAGAAUUCUUUGGAAUCAAUCUCCUUCCCUUCCUCUCUCUCUCCUUGUUUUCUUUGUAUUUUCCUCCGUUUCUACACAUUUAUAUAAAUACUGAAAGCUAGUUGGCUUAGUAUAUAAUUAUCUUCAGAUUCUCUGUUUUACCGUUUUCUUGACCCCUUUUUAACCCUAACUUCACCUUAUGGCCACAGUUGUCGAGUUUGAAUGCCCCCAACUCGUCAACGACAUUCAAGAUUUAUCCAUUCAACCCCAGAACAAAAUGAAGACCACAGUUGAGGAAACAAAGAGAGUUGGGUGCGAGACCAACCAUCAUGGGAUUUGUGCUGUUUGUUUGAAUAA